GCUCUGCUAGCUCAGUUGGUAGAGCAUGAGAUUCUUAAUUUCAGGGUUUGGUUCAAGCCCACAUUGGGUG
rnacentral:tRNA from 1 species